rnacentral:rRNA from 1 species
UACAGAGGUCUCAAGCGUUGUUCGGAUUCAUUGGGCGUAAAGGGUGCGUAGGCGGCGCGGUAAGUCGGGUGUGAAAUCUCGGAGCUUAACUCCGAAACUGCAUUCGAUACUGCCGUGCUUGAGGACUGGAGAGGAGACUGGAAUUUACGGUGUAGCGGUGAAAUGCGUAGAUAUCGUAAGGAAGACCAGUGGCGAAGGCGGGUCUCUGGACAGUUCCUGACGCUGAGGCAC